rnacentral:rRNA from 1 species
UACAGAGGGGGCAAGCGUUGUUCGGAAUUACUGGGCGUAAAGCGCGCGUAGGCGGUCGUAUAAGUCGGAUGUGAAAGCCCUUGGCUCAACCAAGGAACUGCGUCCGAUACUGCACGGCUUGAGGCUGGUAGGGGGUAGCGGAAUUCCCGGUGUAGCGGUGGAAUGCGUAGAUAUCGGGAGGAACACCGAUGGCGAAAGCGGCUACCUGGGCCAGAUCUGACGCUAAAGCGCGAAAGCUAGGGGAGCAAACAGG